GUCUUAUUGAUUAUAAUUUUAAGUCUAAUCUGCCCAGUGAUUUAUUAAAUGGCUGCAGUAUUUUAACUGUACAAAGGUAGCAUAAUAAUUAGUUUCUUAAUUAGAAACUGGAAUGAAAGAUUGAACGAGACAAUAACUGUCUUAAUUUGAAUUUAAGAAUUUUAUUUUUAAGUCAAAAAGCUUAAAUUUUUUUAAAAGACGAGAAGACCCUAUAGAAUUUUAUAUUAUUAUUAUAUUUAAAUUUUAGUAUAUAAAUUUUAAAUUUUUUUAAAAGUAUUUAGUUGGGGUGAUUGGAAAAUUUAUUUAACUUUUUUUAUUGUAAAUCAUUUAUUUAUGUUUUUUUGAUCCAAAAUUUUUGAUUAUAAGAUUAAAUUACCUUAGGGAUAACAGCGUAAUUUUUUUAGAGAGUUCUUAUCGAUAAAAGAGAUUGCGACCUCGAUGUUGGAUUAAAGUUAAUUUUUAAUGUAGAAGUUAAAAUAUUAGGUCUGUUCGACCUUUAAAACUUUACAUGAUCUGAGUUUAAAUCGGCGUGAGCCAGGUUGGAUUCUAUCUUUAAUAAGCUUUAAUAUA
rnacentral:rRNA from 1 species